CCUACGGGGGGCUGCAGUGGGGAGUAUUGGACAAUGGGGGCAACCCUGAUCCAGCCAUGCCGCGUGUGCGAAGAAGGCCCUCGGGUUGUAAAGCACUUUCAGUGAGGAAGAACGCCUGGUGGUUAAUACCCAUCAGGAAAGACAUCACUCACAGAAGAAGCACCGGCUAACUCCGUGCCAGCAGCCGCGGUAAUACGGAGGGUGCGAGCGUUAAUCGGAAUUACUGGGCGUAAAGCGCGCGUAGGUGGCUUGAUAAGCCGGUUGUGAAAGCCCCGGGCUCAACCUGGGAACGGCAUCCGGAACUGUCAAGCUAGAGUGCAGGAGAGGAAGGUAGAAUUCCCGGUGUAGCGGUGAAAUGCGUAGAGAUCGGGAGGAAUACCAGUGGCGAAGGCGGCCUUCUGGACUGACACUGACACUGAGGUGCGAAAGCGUGGGUAGCAAACAGGAUUAGAUACCCCUGUAGUC
rnacentral:rRNA from 1 species